rnacentral:rRNA from 1 species
GACGAACGCUGGCGGCGUGCUUAACACAUGCAAGUCGAACGGAGUGGCGAACGGGUGAGUAACACGUGGGUGACCUGCCCUGCACUUAGGGAUAAGCCUGGGAAACUGGGUCUAAUACCGGAUAGUGUGGGAUGGGCCCGCGGCAGAUCAGCUUGUUGGUGGGGUAUUGGCCUCCCAAGGCGGCGACUGGUAGCCGGCCUGAGAGGGGGGACGGCCACAUUGGUGCUGAGACACGGGCCAGUCGACUACGGGGGGCAGCAGGGGGGAAUAUUGCACAAUGGGCGGAAGCCUGAUGCAGCGACGCCGCGUGGGGGAUGACGGCCUUCGGGUUGGAAACCCCUUUCACCAUCGACGCGGUAGAUGGAGAAGAAGCACCGGCUAACUACGUGCCAGCAGCCGCGGUAAUUC